UAACUUCGGGAAACCGAGGCUAAUACCGCAUAAUACCCACGGGUCAAGGAGCAAUUCGCUUGAGGAGGGGUAGGUCGGCCGGCGUAGUUAGUUAGUGGGACGGUAGUCGCCCCACGANACGGUGAUCGGUAUCCGGCCUGAGAGGGCGCACGGACACACUGGAACUGAAACACGGUCCAGACUCCUACGGGAGGCAGCAGUGGGGAAUUUUGCGCAAUGGGGGAAACCCUGACGCAGCAACGCCGCGUGGAGGAUGAAGUCUCUUGGGACGUAAACUCCUUUCGAUCGGGACGAUUAUGACGGUACCGGAAGAAGAAGCCCCGGCUAACUUCGUG
rnacentral:rRNA from 1 species